ensembl:lncRNA
GCGCGGUGAGGAAGGGCCUUCGUGACCAGUCUGCAUGGGGGAGGCUGAACCAUAGUUUCUGGGCCUUCAAGGGGUGUUGCUGCAGCCACGGGGGCAGCCCUCCUGCGCCUGGACUUCUGCCUGCGAGCAGAGGAGCUUCCACACACAGCUCGUCAGAGCAUCCGUGCUUCUGCGCUAAGUGGCAGAUUCCAGGACGGCUCCAGGGGGCAUCAUCGAAAGGCGUGGCACAUCAGGGCCUUCAGGAUGGCUGCGUCCUGGUAAGAGCGUCUUUAUAGAACCGCAGGGGCUGUGGUUGCUGGGAAGGGUUGGUGGUUAGAUUUGGGGUCGUAUGUGGUGGAGGGUGGAGUGUGUCUCUUCCUCCUUUUAGAGUCUCACUGUACAGCCCUUGCUAUCCUGCAACUUGCUAAGUAGACCUGGUUGACCUCAAACUCAGUUUGUGGCUUUCCAGAUGCUGAGAUUAAAGGCAUGUGCCACCGUGCCUGCCUUUUGUGGUUUAUGUUCUCAUUGUGUCCCCAAAAGAGCCCUUAAGCCUAUGAUGGAUUAGUUAUCCCUGUCUGUUCUGAGGCUUAGGGGUGUGGCUCUGUGCUGAAGAAAUCAGCUUUCCAAGGGAUCACGGAAGAGAAGCUCGCUCUCCUGUAGAGAACUGGGUGCCGGCCUCCCAGCGUAGGGUCUAGUUACUCUGUCAUCCUCGCCCCUGAGUGCUCUGAGGACAAAGUCCCCAAGUCAGCAGAAAUGGACAGAUGCCAGCACCCAUUCUCUACUCCGGAGUGAUGGUGCUUGUCACGUAUUUCUAGAAAAUGAACGUGUUCCUUUAAAGGUGCAGGAAUAUAAGGCUUAGGCCAGCUUGUGCCGUGAGAGCGCUCAGCAACUCUGUCCUUGCUUCUAGCAGUGCUGACAUUUAGGACAGAAGAUGCCAUGACCCUGGCAGCCUCCCCAGUACAGCCUAAGUCCUGUCUUCUUGAUGGCACAGGAGCAGUGAACGAGUGGUGGGCUGGGCGUGGUAGGCUCUGCGCAGCCUUAAUGAUGGAGCGUGCAGUGUCCUCUUUUCCAUGGAGGCUGGGAGGUGCGGACAGGCCUACGCUUAGGUUUGGUUUCACCACUGAGGUAGCUGCGUUUGUGGUGGAAUUUACUGCAGGCGAGAGUGGAAGCCAGGUCUGCUCUGCUUCUGAGCGGACUCGGGUUCAGGUCCUCAGGGAUUUGGUUGAAUAUAAAUACUCCAAUGUUCCAUGAGAAACCUUUCUUGGCCAUUUACCAGAACCUCUUAAAACUUAAAGUUAUCAGCCAUCAGCCUGCGCCUGGAGUUAAGUCAGUCACUUAGCUGGUUCUCCUUCAAAUUCUGUUUUUAGGUUAUUGCCCUGUGGUGCCAGAGAGAACCACACAGCCUGCUGCUGCUCCUGCCUUUAAUUUCCCAAAGAGCCAUCAAAAGACCUUGGACUUUGUUCUGCAAGAGGAGCUAGCAAAAUGGAGUGACUGUGGUCACCCUGGAAGCCUUUGACAGCUGGGGAGGCCCUGCUGAGCUUAGAAAACCAUCUGAUAGAUUUCCUGAGUAAGGAUUGGGCUUUGUAUUUUGAAGCACAAAUAAACUUGAUAAAAUUAAACUUGGUAUCAUUGUGGCUGUUCGAGUGAGCCUUAGAAACACUUAAGGACCGUUCCAGAAUAACACUUGAACUGCAGAAUCAGACUUUUUCUAGUGACCGACUAAAAACUGACUUGUCACUUAAAGCAUAGGUUAACAUUGCCUAACACCUCAACCAUCCAGUGGUGAUGGACUGGAGGGCACAGGUUUCUUCCAGAACACCUGGCUUCAAUUCCCAGUACCCACGUGGUGCUCCUGACCAUCUGUAACGGUGGUCCUAAGGAUCCUAUACCCUUUUGCAGACAUAGGUACCAGGCGUGUGAUAGCUACAUGCUAUAUAAUAUUAAUAUAUAUAUAUAUAUAUAUGUAUGUAUA